rnacentral:tRNA from 1 species
GCACCCGUAGCUCAAUUGGAUAGAGCAUCAGACUUCGGAUCUGAGGGUUCAGGGUUCGAGUCCCUGCGGGUGUA